CUCCUAGGAUGGGGGACGGAAUAGGGUGGAGGGCUGGAGUAGGGGGAGCUGCUGCUUCCUAAACAGCGAAACAAUUCUCACAUUUAAUUCUUUCUCAGUAGGUCAUUCUCCUCCCGUUGUAGCGUUUCGAUGACCGCGGUGGCUGGGACCUCAUGGAGGCACAGACACAUCCUCAAGCCAGUCCUCCAGCUCCUCAGCAGAAGCUGUCCUCCAGGUUAUUCAAGUAUCGAUCUUCCCAUUCAAGGCGGAUGCCCAGCAGAUCAAUAGGCUUAAAACCAUUCUCGGCCAGGAUCACGAAGUAGGUGAAGAAUCCAGCCAGAGCCUGGAUCAUCCCUGUGUUUCCUUCCCUGGAUAUUGGAAUGCUCUCUCUUGUCCUCAAUCUCUUCCCUGUUCAUCCCUCAUCCUAUUUCCUGAAACACUCUAUCGUACCUGGCAACUCAAGAACAAAGACCUCUAAUGACUCUCAAAUGUCUUUCAAGGCCGGACCCAAUAUAAAUGCUACCUGUGUCUACAGCCUUAUUUUCUGCUACUUUAUAAAGACUAAGGGCUCCCA